rnacentral:lncRNA from 1 species
AGAAAAGAAAUGAUAAAGAAGUAAGAAAUAAAUAAUAAUAAAAAAAGAAAAAACAUUUCCUUGUAUCUGAGGGUAGCCGAUAUCCUAGCCAGGUCAUUAAGAUCGAAGAGACAAAGUGAUUUCUCAUACUCUGUCAAAAUAGGACAGCAUGUAAGAAAAAUAAGCAAACAAAAGAACAAGAGCUGAUGAGGUCAACCAAAAAAGACUAACUUUUAGGGUCGAAAGCUUUGCUUUCACUGUCAUCCUCAACAGGCACCUCAACCAUUUUGGAAGCUUGAGGGAUGCUAGCCUCGUCUUUCUCCUUAGGUUCCUUCUCAUGAACCUCAUCUUCGACACCCUCGACCCUCCCUAACGCCGCCCUUGCAGCCUCAUCUACAGCGCGGAGUGAGUACUUAGUACCCCACAGCAAUGGUGGGUUGUAAGGAUCAUCAUCCUCACCUGACCCAGGCACGUGGAUAGACAACAAUUUUUCCUUAAUGUUGGUGCCGAAGGCCUUGUCGUAGCUGACAAUAGACGGAGGCAGAUGGGAGCCCUCAGCAUAAGGUUCCACCCUAAGUAGCAUCAUAGGCUCGUUGUACGCCUCUCCAGUUGCGCCAAAGGUAUUUGGUAACUCCUUCAAAAAUUUAACUAAAGCGCCGCUGGAAUCAACAAGGCCUAACUCAAGCAAAAUUUUAACAGCAUUUUUACCUUGUUC